AAUGAUGAAAUUAGCUUUUUUUCGUUUCUUUUUUUACUUUAGCGCCUGAAAUCGGGGGGCUUUGAGCGUAAGAAAAGAAACGAAAAAAAGCGCUUGAGCCUCCAAUGUGGAGGCUUUUUUAUU
rfam:Xenorhabdus bovienii SS-2004 chromosome, complete genome